UACGAGGAGGCUUGCCUCCGAAGUGAGUGAUACCCAGCUUCCAGGAAAAGCCACUAAGCUUCAGCUGCACACGACCGUACCGCAAACCGACACUGGUGCGCGAGAUGAGUAUUCUCAGGCGCUUGAGAGAACUCGGGAGAAGGAACUCGGCAAAUUGACACCGUAACUUCGGAAGAAGGUGUGCCUUUAGUAGGUGAACCCGUACAGGGGGAGCCCAAUGAGGUUGCAAAGAAUCGGUGGCUGCGACUGUUUAAUAAAAACACAGCACUCUGCAAACACGAAAGUGGACGUAUAGGGUGUGACGCCUGCCCGGUGCUGGAAGAUUAAGUGAUGGGGUGCAAGCUCUUGAUCGAAGUCCCAGUAAACGGCGGCCGUAACAAUAACGGUCCUAAGGUAGCGAAAUUCCUUGUCGGGUAAGUUCCGACCUGCACGAAUGGCGUAACGAUGGCCACACUGUCUCCUCCCGAGACUCAGCGAAGUUGAAAUGUUUGUGAUGAUGCAAUCUCCCCGCGGAAAGACGGAAAGACCCCAUGAACCUUUACUGUAGCUUUGUAUUGGACUUUGAACGGAUCUGUGUAGGAUAGGUGGGAGGCUUUGAAGCAGGGUCGCUAGAUCUUGUGGAGCCAACGUUGAAAUACCACCCUGGUGCGUUUGAGGUUCUAACCUAGGCCCGUUAUCCGGGUCGGGGACAGUGCAUGGUAGGCAGUUUGACUGGGGCGGUCUCCUCCCAAAGCGUAACGGAGGAGUUCGAAGGUACGCUAGUUACGGUCGGACAUCGUGACGAUAGUGCAAUGGCAUAAGCGUGCUUAACUGCGAGACUGACAAGUCGAGCAGAUGCGAAAGCAGGACAUAGUGAUCCGGUGGUUCUGUAUGGAAGGGCCAUCGCUCAACGGAUAAAAGGUACUCUGGGGAUAACAGGCUGAUACCGCCCAAGAGUUCAUAUCGACGGCGGUGUUUGGCACCUCGAUGUCGGCUCAUCUCAUCCUGGGGCUGUAGCCGGUCCCAAGGGUAUGGCUGUUCGCCAUUUAAAGAGGUACGUGAGCUGGGUUUAAAACGUCGUGAGACAGUUUGGUCCCUAUCUUCCGUGGGCGCUGCAGAUUUGAGGAAGCCUGCUCCUAGUACGAGAGGACCGGAGUGGACGCACCUCUGGUGUACCUGUUGUCACGCCAGUGGCAUUGCAGGGUAGCUAAGUGCGGAAGAGAUAACCGCUGAAAGCAUCUAAGCGGGAAACUCGUUUCAAGAUGAGAUCUGCCGGGGCCUUGAGCCCCCUGAAGAGUCGUUCUAGACCAGGACGUUGAUAGGCUGGGUGUGGAAGCGCAGUAAUGCGUUAAGCUAACCAGUACUAAUUGCUCGUGCGGCUUGACCCC
rnacentral:rRNA from 1 species